GAGUAUGGCAGGAUUGAGCACACAGGUA
rnacentral:piRNA from 1 species